rnacentral:rRNA from 1 species
UACGAAGGGGGCUAGCGUUGCUCGGAAUUACUGGGCGUAAAGGGCGCGUAGGCGGACAGUUUAGUCAGAGGUAAAAGCCCAGGGCUCAACCUUGGAACUGCCUUUGAUACUGGCUGUCUUGAGUACGGGAGAGGUGAGUGGAACUCCGAGUGUAGAGGUGAAAUUCGUAGAUAUUCGGAAGAACACCAGUGGCGAAGGCGACUCACUGGCCCGUUACUGACGCUGAGGCGCGAAAGCGUGGGGAGCAAACAGG